rnacentral:rRNA from 1 species
AGAGUUUGAUCCUGGCUCAGGACGAACGCUGGCGGCGUGCUUAACACAUGCAAGUCGAACGGUAAGGCCCUUUCGGGGGUACACGAGUGGCGAACGGGUGAGUAACACGUGGGUAAUCUGCCCUGCACUUCGGGAUAAGCCUGGGAAACCGGGUCUAAUACCGGAUAUGAGCUCCUGCCGCAUGGUGGGGGUUGGAAAGUUUUUCGGUGCAGGAUGAGUCCGCGGCCUAUCAGCUUGUUGGUGGGGUAAUGGCCUACCAAGGCGACGACGGGUAGCCGGCCUGAGAGGGUGAUCGGCCACACUGGGACUGAGACACGGCCCAGACUCCUACGGGAGGCAGCAGUGGGGAAUAUUGCACAAUGGGCGAAAGCCUGAUGCAGCGACGCCGCGUGGGGGAUGACGGUCUUCGGAUUGUAAACUCCUUUCAGUAGGGACGAAGCGAAAGUGACGGUACCUGCAGAAGAAGCACCGGCCAACUACGUGCCAGCAGCCGCGGUAAUACGUAGGGUGCAAGCGUUGUCCGGAAUUACUGGGCGUAAAGAGCUCGUAGGCGGUUUGUCACGUCGUCUGUGAAAUCCUCCAGCUCAACUGGGGGCGUGCAGGCGAUACGGGCAGACUUGAGUACUACAGGGGAGACUGGAAUUCCUGGUGUAGCGGUGAAAUGCGCAGAUAUCAGGAGGAACACCGGUGGCGAAGGCGGGUCUCUGGGUAGUAACUGACGCUGAGGAGCGAAAGCAUGGGGAGCAAACAGGAUUAGAUACCCUGGUAGUCCAUGCCGUAAACGGUGGGCGCUAGGUGUGGGGUCCUUCCACGGAUUCCGUGCCGUAGCUAACGCAUUAAGCGCCCCGCCUGGGGAGUACGGCCGCAAGGCUAAAACUCAAAUGAAUUGACGG